GUUUUCUUUUCUUUUGCUUUGUUCUUGAGAGAAAAUGGUGGAGAACCAAGCCACCCUUCACUUAAUAAAUCAGAAGAAGAGAGUCAAAUAUAAACACCACUUUUCCGUUCAGAUCAUGGGUAGUCAUGCAACUUUACAUCGGAUCGGUGAUUUACCAGAAAAUAAGGAGAGGCAGUUUGCAACAGACCGAUGAGUGCUACUCUAGCUAGAAGCCUCAAAAUUAAUGGACCUCCAAGCAAACUUUGUGUGGAGCUCUGGCAUCCAGCAUUUGGCUUCCAGCUUAACCUGUUGUGUUUCCACAUAGGCAGCGAUAGGUAGGACUUGGCUCUGCGAUGGUCGGUUCAUUUCCCUUCCCAGUACAUAAUUGGCAACCUUUGGAAGGUGGCAUCAGAGGCCAAAUGCUUAAUAUGGCAUAGACUGGAUUAUGUUGUUUCUGGGAUUACGCGCCUGUCAAACUGCUCUUCGAUCUGCGAUCUGUUGUUAUACAUCAUAUGGUGUAAUUUUUCUCACCUACCCCCGUGUAAAUUAGCCGGUAGAGAAUUAUGGACGUAAUUGGUCUGACCUAUACCCCCAGUUUAAGGAGGCCUAGGGUGUCGAAUCAAUGCAGGCUCUACUCUCCUUGUAGAGAAGUAUGGACGACAAGGUUUAUUUUCCCUC